GUAGUCAUAUGCUUGUCUCAAAGAUUAAGCCAUGCAUGUCUAAGUAUAAGCAAUUAUACAGCGAAACUGCGAAUGGCUCAUUAAAUCAGUUAUCGUUUAUUUGAUAGUACCUUACUACUUGGAUAACCGUGGUAAUUCUAGAGCUAAUACAUGCUAAAAACCCCGACUCACGAAGGGGUGUAUUUAUUAGAUUAAAAGCCAAUGCCCUCCGGGGCUCACUGGUGAUUCAUAAUAACUUGCCGAAUCGCAUGGCCUUGCGCCGGCGAUGGUUCAUUCAAAUUUCUGCCCUAUCAGCUUUCGACGGCUGGGUCUUGGCCAGCCAUGGUGACAACGGGUAACGGAGGGUUAGGGCUCGACCCCGGAGAACGAGCCUGAGAAACGGCUAUUACAUCCAAGGAAGGCAGCAAGCGCGCAAAUUACCCAAUACCGACUCGGUGAGGUAGUGACGAUAAAUACUGAUACAGGGCUCUUUUGGGUCUUGUAGUUGGAAUGAGUACAAUUUAAAUCCCUUAACGAGGAACAAUUGGGGGGCAAGUUUGGUGCCAGCAGCC
rnacentral:rRNA from 1 species